rnacentral:rRNA from 1 species
UACGGGGGGGGCAAGCGUUGUUCGGAAUUACUGGGCGUAAAGGGCUCGUAGGCGGCCAACUAAGUCAGACGUGAAAUCCCUCGGCUUAACCGGGGAACGGCCUCUGAUACUGGCUGGCUGGAGUUCGGGAGAGGGAUGCGGAAUUCCAGGUGUAGCGGUGAAAUGCGUGGAUAUCUGGAGGAACACCGGUGGCGAAGGCGGCAUCCUGGACCGACACUGACGCUGAGGAGCGAAAGCCAGGGGAGCAAACGGG